rnacentral:rRNA from 1 species
AGCGGUGGCAAUGGCGAAGAGGUCCCACCUGUUCUCAUACCGAACACAGAAGUUAAGCUCUUCAGCGCGGAAAGUACUUGGCUGGCGACGGCCCGGGAGGCUAAGACGCUGCCGCUU